AAGCAGUGGAGUAUGUGGUUUAAUUCGAAGCAACGCGAAGAACCUUACCAGGCCUUGACAUCCCUCUGACCGGUUUAGAGAUAGACCUUUUCCUUCGGGGACAGAGGAGACAGGUGGUGCAUGGUUGUCGUCAGCUCGUGUCGUGAGAUGUUGGGUUAAGUCCCGCAACGAGCGCAACCCUUGAUCUUAGUUGCCAGCACGCAGAGGUGGGCACUCUAAGAUGACUGCCGGUGACAAACCGGAGGAAGGUGGGGAUGACGUCAAAUCAUCAUGCCCCUUAUGGCCUGGGCUACACACGUACUACAAUGGUCGGUACAACGGGAAGCGAAGGAGCGAUCCGGAGCCAAUCCUCAAAAGCCGAUCUCAGUUCGGAUUGCAGGCUGCAACUCGCCUGCAUGAAGUCGGAAUUGCUAGUAAUCGCGGAUCAGCAUGCCGC
rnacentral:rRNA from 1 species